GCUGCCUGCUGAGUCUCCCGUGUUAUAGGGCAGCAGCAAUGAACUCCUUAUUCCUAUUCCUGCUCCUUCUCUCUACUCCCUCAUGUGUGCUCUCUGCUGUGCAGCUGGUUGAGUCUGGCCCAGGGGUGGCGAACCCUGCAGAGACCCUCACCCUGACCUGCACUGUCACAGGUUUCUCCAUCACCACCAGUAAUUACUAUUGGAGCUGGAUCCAGCAGCCUCCUGGGAAAGGGCUGGAGUGGAUGGAGUACAUGAGCUACAGUGGCAGCACAGGCUACAACCCAACCUUCAAGAGCCACAUCACCAUUUCCAGGGACACUUCCAAGAGCCAGUUCUCCCUAAAGCUGGGCUCCUUGACAGCCGCAGACACGGCCACGUAUUACUGUGCCAGGGACACACUGGUUGAGUCUGGCCCAGGGGUGGUGAAGCCUGCAGAGACCCUCAGCCUGACCUGCACUGUCACAGGUUCCUCCAUCAGUAGUAGAGGCAGUUGGAGCUGGAUCCGGCAGCCUCCUGGGAAAGGGCUGGAGUGGAUGGGGUUCAUAUUUGCCAGCAGUGAUAGCACAGACUACAACCCAUCCCUCAAGAGCCGCAUCACCAUUUCCAAGGACAACUCCAAGAGCCAGUUCUCCCUGCAGCUGCGCUCUCUGACAGCCGCAGACACCUCCACGUAUUACUGUGCCAGAGACAACAGCUACACAGUGACACAGUGA